UGUCCCAUCCCAGGGCCCAGGGAAGCAGCUCCUGGGCCGGCACCACCCAGACGGUGCCGGAGCCGCUCCGGAACGUGGGAGAAUCCCAGGAUGUGGGAGAAUCCAGAGGAUCCCCAGCCCUGCUGCUGGAACAUGGCAGCGGGAGGGCAGAUGUUCCGAAGGCUCCGACCCGGAAGGGAAAAUCCUGCUCAGUGUGGGACGAGCUGAGCCCGGAGCGGCGCCGGGUCCUGCGGCACCACCUGCACCUGCGCAGCUCCGGGUGGAUCCAGGAUCCCUGCGGGAAGUGGGUGAAGGACGGGAACGCCGAGUUCGACUCGGACGAGGACGAGCCCCCGGAGCUGCCACCGACGUGACCCUCCCUGGCCCCACAUC